ACGGGUGAGUAAUGUCUGGGAAACUGCCCGGUGGAGGGGGAUAACUACUGGAAACGGUAGCUAAUACCGCAUAACGUCUUCGGACCAAAGUGGGGGAUCUUCGGACCUCACGCCACCGGAUGUGCCCAGAUGGGAUUAGCUAGUAGGUGGGGUAACGGCUCACCUAGGCGACGAUCCCUAGCUGGUCUGAGAGGAUGACCAGCCACACUGGAACUGAGACACGGUCCAGACUCCUACGGGAGGCAGCAGUGGGGAAUAUUGCACAAUGGGCGCAAGCCUGAUGCAGCCAUGCCGCGUGUAUGAAGAAGGCCUUCGGGUUGUAAAGUACUUUCAGCGGGGAGGAAGGCGGUGAGGUUAAUAACCUCGCCGAUUGACGUUACCCGCAGAAGAAGCACCGGCUAACUCCGUGCCAGCAGCCGCGGUAAUACGGAGGGUGCAAGCGUUAAUCGGAAUUACUGGGCGUAAAGCGCACGCAGGCGGUCUGUUAAGUCAGAUGUGAAAUCCCCGGGCUUAGCCUGGGAACUGCAUUUGAAACUGGCAGGCUUGAGUCUCGUAGAGGGGGGUAGAAUUCCAGGU
rnacentral:rRNA from 1 species